GAUGAACGCUGACAGAAUGCUUAACACAUGCAAGUCUUUGGCGAAGCUGUGCUUGCACAGCCUAGCCAAGGCGGACGGGUGAGUAACGCGUAAGGAACUUGCCCUGCAGUCAGGGAUAACAGACGGAAACGACUGAUAAGACCUGGUAAAGUCAGGCGGACUCAUGUCCAGCCUGAUGAAAAGUGAUGCUGCAGGAGAGCCUUGCGCCCUAUUAGCUUGUUGGUGGGGUAACGGCCCACCAAGGCGAUGAUAGGUAGCCGGCCUGAGAGGGUGGACGGCCACAAGGGGACUGAGAUACGGCCCUUACUCCUACGGGAGGCAGCAGUGGGGAAUAUUGGACAAUGGGGGCAACCCUGAUCCAGCAAUUCUGUGUGCACGAUGAAGGUUUUCGGAUUGUAAAGUGCUUUCAGCAGGGAAGAAAAAAAUGACGGUACCUGCAGAAGAAGCGACGGCUAAAUACAUG
rnacentral:rRNA from 1 species